rnacentral:rRNA from 1 species
UACGGGGGGGGCAAGCGUUGUUCGGAAUUACUGGGCGUAAAGGGCGCGUAGGCGGCCUGCUACGUCGGAUGUGAAAUCCCUCGGCUCAACCGAGGAACUGCAUCCGAUACUGGCGGGCUUGAAUCCGGGAGAGGGAUGUGGAAUUCCAGGUGUAGCGGUGAAAUGCGUAGAUAUCUGGAGGAACACCGGUGGCGAAGGCGGCAUCCUGGACCGGUAUUGACGCUGAGGCGCGAAAGCCAGGGGAGCAAACAGG